rnacentral:rRNA from 1 species
UACGUAGGUGGCAAGCGUUGUCCGGAAUUAUUGGGCGUAAAGCGCGCGCAGGUGGUUCCGUAAGUCUGAUGUGAAAUCCCACGGCUCAACCGUGGAGGGUCAUUGGAAACUGGGGAACUUGAGUGCAGAAGAGGAAAGUGGAAUUCCAAGUGUAGCGGUGAAAUGCGUAGAGAUUUGGAGGAACACCAGUGGCGAAGGCGACUUUCUGGUCUGUAACUGACACUGAGGCGCGAAAGCGUGGGGAGCAAACAGG